rnacentral:rRNA from 1 species
AAAUUGAAGAGUUUGAUCAUGGCUCAGAUUGAACGCUGGCGGCAGGCCUAACACAUGCAAGUCGAACGGUAACAGGAAGCAGCUUGCUGCUUUGCUGACGAGUGGCGGACGGGUGAGUAAUGUCUGGGAAACUGCCUGAUGGAGGGGGAUAACUACUGGAAACGGUGGCUAAUACCGCAUAACGUCGCAAGACCAAAGAGGGGGACCUUCGGGCCUCUUGCCAUCAGAUGUGCCCAGAUGGGAUUAGCUGGUUGGUGAGGUAACGGCUCACCAAGGCGACGAUCCCUAGCUGGUCUGAGAGGAUGACCAGCCACACUGGAACUGAGACACGGUCCAGACUCCUACGGGAGGCAGCAGUGGGGAAUAUUGCACAAUGGGCGCAAGCCUGAUGCAGCCAUGCCGCGUGUAUGAAGAAGG